rnacentral:lncRNA from 1 species
AGGGCCCUCGGGGGGCCAAAAAAUUACGAAAAAUCGAAGCUUACCGGCGGCGGUGCUCUCGGGUGCGGCGGCUCUCCGGCGAGGUUCGUGUUUUGGUGAUUCGGCUCCGAUCAACCUGUAGAGAAAAGAAUGGUGAUCACGGUGAUAUAAAAAUUGCAUCAAACGGAGGCCGGGAAGGGCCUCAUCGGAGGCAAAAACCGAGGAGGGACGCGGCGGCGGCGCUGGGUUUCGGCCGUGUUUUCCGGCCGUUUGGCCGAGAUUUUGGC